UAGAAAGCUUUAGGGGAAGGGGAGUAUUGUGCUGCGAAUAUAUAUCCAGGUAAAGACAGUGCUCUGCUAAUGUAUCUCAAUCCUGACUGGCAGGGACCACCUCUAGGGAUGCGAUGAGAGCUCAUUUUCCAUGGCCCAUUCAAUUCUGGGCCUCU
rnacentral:sRNA from 1 species